CUGGUUGAUCCUGCCAGUAGUGAUAUGCUUGUUUCAAAGAUUAAGCCAUGCAUGUCUAAGUAUAAGCGAACUUAUACAGUGAAACUGCGGAUGGCUCAUUAAAACAGUUUGAAUUUAUUUGAUGAAUGUAUGAGAAUACUACUUGGAUAACCGUAGUAAUUCUAGAGCUAAUACAUGCAACGACGCCCGACCGUUUCACUACGGAAGGGCUGUAUUUAUUGGAUACCAAAACCAUCCUUCCCUCGGGAAGUUUUGUUUGAUGAUUCACAAUAACUGAUCGGAUCGCCACUGUGGUGGUGACAGGUCAUUCAACAUUCUGCCCUAUCAGCUUUCGAUGGUUGUGUAGUGGACAACCAUGGCCAUAACGGGUAACGGAGAAUCAGGGUUCGAUUCCGGAGAAGGAGCUUGAGAAUUGGCUACUACAUCUAAGGAAGGCAGCAGGCGCGCAAAUUACCCAAUCCCGAUUCGGGGAGGUAGUGACAAAAAAUAACAAUACCGGGCCUUUUUGGGCUUGGUAAUUGGAAUGAGGGAGAGUUAAACGGACCAUCGAGUAUCCAUUGGAGGGCAAGUCUGGUGCCAGCAGCUGCGGUAAUACCAGCUCCAAUAGCGUAUAUUAAAGUUGUUGCAGUUAAAAAGCUCGUAGUUGGACUUGUGUGCGCUGUCCGCGGGUGGCCUGCGCCCAAAAGGGCGUUUCGGUUCGGCCCCGGUGGCGCCUUGAAAUCUGCAGCUGGGGGGACGUUGGCCUUAACUGGUCGGCGACCGCACGCCGGCUGCUCGGUUACUGUGAGAAAAUUAGAGUGUUCAAGGCAGGCAUUGGGUGCAAUUGAAUACAUUAGCAUGGAAUAAUAAAAUAUGGCUCCUGCCGUAUUUUGUUGGUUUUGACUGGUGGGAGUAAUGAUUGAUAGGGACGGUUGGGGGUGCUAGUAUUGAGCGGCCAGAGGUGAAAUUCAUGGAUUCGCUCAAGACUAACUUAUGCGAAAGCAUUCACAAGGACGUCCUCUUUAAUCAAGAACGAAAGUUGGGGGAUCGAAGACGAUCAGAUACCGUCGUAGUCUCAACCAUAAACUAUGUCGACUUGGGAUCGGCGGUAGUUUUUUCAUUAAGACACUGUCGGGACCACGGGAGAAAUCAAAGUGUCUGGACUCUGGGGGAAGUAUGGUCGCAAGGCUGAAACUUGAAGGAAUUGACGGAAGGGCACCACCAGGAGUGGAGCCUGCGGCUUAAUUUGACCCAACACGGGGAAACUUACCAGGUCCAGAGAUGUAGAGGAUUGACAGAUUGAAGCUCUUUCUUGAUCACUUCGGUGGUGGCGCAUGGCCGUUCUUAGUUGGUGGAGUGAUUUGUCU
rnacentral:rRNA from 1 species